rnacentral:rRNA from 1 species
AGAUGUAACGGGGCUCAAGCCAUGAACCGAAGCUGCGGAUGCAUUUUAAUGCGUGGUAGGGGAGCGUUCUGUAAGUCUGUGAAGGUGUCUUGUAAAGGAUGCUGGAGAUAUCAGAAGUGCGAAUGCUGACAUGAGUAGCGAUAAAGGGUGUGAAAAGCACCCUCGCCGAAAGCCCAAGGUUUCCUGCGCAACGUUCAUCGGCGCAGGGUGAGUCGGCCCCUAAGGCGAGGCAGAAAUGCGUAGUCGAUGGGAAACAGGUCAAUAUUCCUGUACCGAUUCUAGAUGCGAUGUGGGGACGGAGAAGGUUAGGUCAGCCAACUGUUGGAAUAGUUGGUUUAAGCGUGUAGGCGUGCCCCUUAGGCAAAUCCGGGGGGCUUAGCUGAGGCGUGACGACGAGGUCUCUUUGAGACCGAAGUGAUUGAUACCCUGCUUCCAGGAAAAGCCACUAAGCUUCAGUCUAGAAUUGACCGUACCGCAAACCGACACAGGUGGGCAGGUAGAAGAUACUAAGGCGCUUGAGAGAACUCAGGAGAAGGAACUCGGCAAAUUGAUACCGUAACUUCGGGAGAAGGUAUGCCCUGGUAGCUUGUAGGAGAACAUCCGAAGGGCGACGGGGCCGCAGAGAAUCGGUGGCUGCGACUGUUUAUUAAAAACACAGCACUCUGCAAACACGAAAGUGGACGUAUAGGGUGUGACGCCUGCCCGGUGCCGGAAGGUUAAGUGAUGGGGUGCAAGCUCUUGAUCGAAGCCCCGGUAAACGGCGGCCGUAACUAUAACGGUCCUAAGGUAGCGAAAUUCCUUGUCGGGUAAGUUCCGACCUGCACGAAUGGCGUAACGAUGGCCACACUGUCUCCUCCUGAGACUCAGCGAAGUUGAAGUGUUUGUGAAGAUGCAAUCUCCCCGCGGCUAGACGGAAAGACCCCAUGAACCUUUACUGUAGCUUUGCAUUGGACUUUGACGGGACUUGUGUAGGAUAGGUGGGAGGCGCUGAGACCAGGACGCUAGUUCUGGUGGAGCCGUCCUUGAAAUACCACCCUGGUGUCGUUGAGGUUCUAACCUAGGUCCAUCAUCUGGAUCGGGGACCGUGCAUGGUAGGCAGUUUGACUGGGGCGGUCUCCUCCCAAAAGGUAACGGAGGAGUACGAAGGUCUUCUAGGUACGGUCGGACAUCGUACUGAUAGUGCAAUGGCAAAAGAAGGCUUGACUGCGAGACCGACAAGUCGAGCAGGUGCGAAAGCAGGUCAUAGUGAUCCGGUGGUUCUGUAUGGAAGGGCCAUCGCUCAACGGAUAAAAGGUACUCUGGGGAUAACAGGCUGAUUCCGCCCAAGAGUUCACAUCGACGGCGGAGUUUGGCACCUCGAUGUCGGCUCAUCACAUCCUGGGGCUGUAGCCGGUCCCAAGGGUAUGGCUGUUCGCCAUUUAAAGUGGUACGUGAGCUGGGUUUAAAACGUCGUGAGACAGUUUGGUCCCUAUCUGCCGUGGGCGCUGGAUAUUUGAGGGGGCCUGCUCCUAGUACC